rnacentral:rRNA from 1 species
UACGAAGGGGGCUAGCGUUGCUCGGAAUCACUGGGCGUAAAGCGCACGUAGGCGGCUUUUUAAGUCAGAGGUGAAAUCCUGGAGCUCAACUCCAGAACUGCCUUUGAUACUGGAGAGCUUGAGUCCGGGAGAGGUGAGUGGAACUGCGAGUGUAGAGGUGAAAUUCGUAGAUAUUCGCAAGAACACCAGUGGCGAAGGCGGCUCACUGGCCCGGUACUGACGCUGAGGCGCGACAGCGUGGGGAGCAAACAGG